AGAGUUUGAUCAUGGCUCAGAGUGAACGUUGGCGGCGUGGAUUAGGCAUGCAAGUCGAGCGAUCGUAGCAAUACGGGAGCGGCAAACGGGGUAGGAAUACAUCGGAACGUACCUUUUGGUUGAGAAUAGCGUUGGGAAACUGACGGUAAUACUCAAUAAAGUCGAGAGACCAAAGGUUUACUGCCGGAAGAGCGGCCGAUGCGAUAUUAGGUAGUUGGUGGGGUAAUGGCCUACCAAGCCUGAGAUGUCUAGGGGGUGUGAGAGCAUGGCCCCCACCACUGGGACUGAGAUACUGCCCAGACACCUACGGGUGGCUGCAGUCGAGGAUCUUCGUCAAUGGGCGAAAGCCUGAACGAGCGACGCCGCGUGCGGGAUGAAGGCCCUUGGGUUGUAAACCGCUGUCAGGGGGGAUGAAACCGUAAGGUUGACAGAGCCCCAGAGGAAGCACGGGCUAAGUUCGUG
rnacentral:rRNA from 1 species